AGAGCUAUGCCUGAAUUCCCAAGGACCACUUUGAUAGAGUGGCUUAUAGGGGUUAAAGUCCCCUUAGCUCUU
rnacentral:tRNA from 1 species